UGUUAUUUAAGAAACUGUAUCAUGUGUUGUAUUAAGUUUUUUGUUUGUUUAAUUCAGAAGCUGUUAGGAGGCGGAGCAGAAUCACUCCACCAAUCAGCGUUUACCUGCAGACGUUGGCUGACGUUCGUGGACGUUGGCUGACGUGUGUCGUCAUUGAACGUGAGCCACGGCUGGGCAGCAAGGCGGCGGGGAAGCAAAGUUGGAAGAACGAGUGAAAACACCGAGUAAAACAAAUGUUUGAGUCGUCGCUUCGGCGCUUUGGUUUGUUAACGAUUUGAGAUAUUACAUUACCGAAGAAGUUUGGACGCCGAAACAACAGUUUGGAGCAGUUUUGUCGAAUGACGCUGAAACACACCUGCGUGAAGGGUUUAAACAACACUGUGUCUGUAGACCAGACUCCUGGUGAGCCCGUGCUCAAGCAUCACGUCUACGAGAGGAGAGAAUGAAGUCCAGAGACAAAGACACACAGAAGGUGCAGAGGCCUCGCUGGAUCUCCAUGAGUCAGCCAGGAACCCAGAGCCAGAGGACAUCAGUGACAUGUUACAUAAUCAACAAGGACUCAAACUUCACCCUGGAAAUUGCAGAGAAGAGACAGACACGAAGGUUUACAGGUCCAGAAGUUCAGCUGCUGUCUUGUUCUCCUCCUCCUGCAGAGACAGAACACGUUAAUCAACUGAUCAAUAAAUCUAAUCUUCCUGCUCCAAACUGUCCUCAGUCCUUUUUUGAUAGUUAAUUACAACAUUUUAGUAGGAGUGCUGCUACUACAGUCUUGUUGAAGAAAUUAAUCAACUAUUUUUCUAAACUAUUUACAUUGUUUGGUUCUAAUUAUUACAGCAAUGACUAUGACUGUGUCCAUGUCUGAAUAUUACAAGUUACUUCUAUUAAUACUACAAUAUUGCAUUACCUCUAAUUUCUAAGAGUAGAAAUUAUGUAUAACAUUAACACAUUACUGUAAACAUUACACAUUAUUUUUAAUAAAUAGUUUUGGGGCUAUUUUAAUCUUCAGACAGGGACACAGUCAUUGUCUCUAAUGUGACUGUAAUAAUUAGAAAAACAAACUAAUGUAAAUAGUUAAGAGAAAUAGCUGAUUAAUUUUUUAACAAGACUGCAGCAGUAGCAGCACUCCUACUAAAAUGUUGUAAUUAACUAUCAAAAAGGAAUAGGGACAGUUCUAAUUAAA